GACGUGAUCAAUCGCACACACAGGAUAUAAUUUACAGGAUAUACAAAGCGUUCGGUAUACGUUCGUACUAGACCGCUGGGCGACGCUUUUCUUACUGAACGCCAGGAGCACACGCAUUGGCCAAAAUUCGGAGGCGCUGCUGCCACUGCAACGACGGCAGAAAGGCUGCCGAUUUUCCCGCUGUCGCUGCUGCUGUGAAAAUCGCUGUCGCCGCUGCUGCUGCUGCCUCUGCCGUCGAUGACGACGACGGGAUGCGUUUCCCUACAUUUCUCUUCGGCGGCGAGGAGUUCGGUUAACGGCGGCACGAAGCUGGCUGCCAUCGCAGCCAUCGUUCAUGAAAUAUUCACGAAUGGCUCGCUCUCACUCGCGCCGCCUGCUCCUUGCUGAAUCCUUGCUCUCCGGCCCUCUCUCCGUCCCUCUCGCCAUCCCAACUGGCUCGUUUCCUCGCUCCAGGCGCCAUUCACAAGUCGCAAGCCUCGUCCUUUCAGGUCCUUUCGGCUCCCGUCGCCACAGAGCGCAGAAUCCGAGCAGCCGAGAGCACAGGCUUUUCGAAAGCGCCAGCCACAUUUGA
ensembl:ncRNA lncRNA:CR46078 long non-coding RNA:CR46078